GUGUAUUUUAAUAGGCAUAUUUUACCCAUUAGUAUUCACUGAAUGUUUGGUCUUACCCAUGGCAUCUUGUAGGGAAAGAGUGAGAUC